rnacentral:rRNA from 1 species
UACGUAGGGACCAAGCGUUGUUCGGAUUUACUGGGCGUAAAGGGCGCGUAGGCGGCUUGACAAGUCACUUGUGAAAUCUCCGGGCUUAACUCGGAACGGCCAAGUGAAACUGUCAUGCUAGAGUGCAGAAGGGGCAAUCGGAACUCUUGGUGUAGCGGUGAAAUGCGUAGAUAUCAAGAGGAACACCUGAGGUGAAGACGGGUUGCUGGGCUGACACUGACGCUGAGGCGCGAAAGCCAGGGGAGCAAACGGG